CAGCCGCCACGGGAAUACGUAGGGUGCGAGCGUUAAUCGGAAUUACUGGGCGUAAAGCGAGCGCAGACGGUUAUUUAAGCAGGAUGUGAAAUCCCCGGGCUUAACCUGGGAACUGCGUUCUGAACUGGAUAGCUAGAGUGUGUCAGAGGGGGGUGGAAUUCCACGUGUAGCAGUGAAAUGCGUAGAGACGUGGAGGAAUACCGAUGGCGAAGGCAGCCCCCUGGGAUAACACUGACGUUCAUGCUCGAAAGCGUGGGUAGCAAACAGGAUUAGAUACCCCCGUAGUCCCUGUCUCUUAUAC
rnacentral:rRNA from 1 species